ensembl:lncRNA
CUGAAGUGGACAAAACAUGCUCUGCUCCACCUCUUUGUAUAGAAAAAAGAGUCUCUCACACACUGACAUGCCCCCUCACGUCAUAAUCUAAACCAUUUUGUGCAGAUUUACACUCCCCCACAGCGCAAGGAAUGGGACAUACAGCCAGACUGGAGCUACAGACAGGACUCCCAUUAUCAGGCAUCAAACAAGAACAGUACCUCUACAUUUAAUGGAUUGUUAUCUGGGCACUACACAAACCAGACACAGGAAGGAAGCCAAGCAAGGAGAUAAGCACCAUUAGGUUUUGAGGUCCUUUGCCUGCUGAUUUAUAGAUCAGUAUUUCCAGUAACCCGAUGGGCCC